rnacentral:lncRNA from 1 species
GCUGUCCGGGUAAGUGCUCUUAGCUCGUAGCGAGUUACUAAAACAUCUUAAGAUAGAACCAGUCAAACAUAAUCCAAAUAAAAUGCAGCAGAAACCCAUAUGUUUCGACAAAAUCUCAAGGAGUUUUUUCUGAUACCUAAUAAAGUUUGACUGUCAAACUGAGCCAGAACUGGUAGCUUGGUUGCCUUUUCUAUGAUAUAGGACAGUGUCUUAAAGCUAAAGAACAUUUCUAAGAUGAAGUAUGAGCAGCAAGGCACGCUAAUUCUGUUUUCUGUAACAGCUAAUGAAGCAUUUAAAAGGGGAAAAAGUGAAGGAACACGAGUUUCUGCAUGUCAGAUGCUUCAGCAGCAAGAAUUAAUGGCCCAUCUGAAGAAAUGACACGAUCAAACCUUGAGUAAAGUGCAGAGAAUCCAUUUGUUGACUCCAAAAUGUGAGUACCAUCCCCAAACUUAAUGUGGCUUUCAUGAUAUGGUCACAUUUCUUGGCUUAAGAUGUUUGGAUAGUACUUGUGCUUAUAACUGCUAGCGUAACAUUCCUGCUUCACAUAGUUUCUGAUGCUUUUCCACAUCUAUAGCAAGUUUUCUUUCGUUGAUGGUAUCAUAAUCCCUUAAUUAAUGAUACAAGCGACCUAGGUGUUCUUUUUCUGGAAAGAAAAUAAAAACCUUGAGUUUGAGCUCUUACUUCUUUUUCAAGUGCUAAACGACGUUCAUGUAAUGAUUCUUUUCGCUUUUGUAGACUUGUCUGGAGGUUUUUAUUUUCUUUGACCUGAAAAAUACAAACAUCAUUUCAGAUGAAAGAAUUCUAUGUUACAUAACUUUGUGUGGUCCUGGGGAAAAGGAUGCACCUCCUUUGCAACUUUAGAUUGGAGAUCGGCCUUGUUGUUCUCAAGCUUCUCAAUAAGAGCCCUAAUAUAGAAGCUCAAUUAGAAUAUCAAUAACUCAAAAAUAUCAACAGUGUAAAUUAUAAAUAUUAUGGGAAAAUAAUGCUCCAGAAAGUAUGUGCAUGCACGGGUGAGUGCGUAUAUUCCAGAAAGUACUUGUUCAUCUCGGAAGAAUCUAAAAGGGAAUCAUAGCAACAUGUAUGACUUGUGUGCCUACAAAAAUGUGUGUCAUGCAAAGAAAAUGAAAGAUGCAAUUUUUCUUUUGGACUUUUGCAACUACAACCUUUUGUUUUUGUUGUAUUGUGCAUGCCGAUCAUAUUUUUGCACAAUAUUUACAGGUUUACAUCUUGUAACAUGUUAGCACAUCUACAAUUUGGGGAUCUUUUCUAGUGUGGAAGUAUGCAAUUCGAACCAUGUGCACUCUCUGACUUGCCCAUACAAACAAAAAAUUCCACACCGUUACACAAACCUCAAUCUCUAUGGCAAUUUUUAGAAGGUACAAAUAUUGCAGAUGCAGAUGCAAUGACGUUCUAGGACUGACCAUGGAAAAUGUGCAAAUACCAUUUGCAGUUUACAAAUCGUCAUAUUUAUGCAUUAGCUUUUCAAGUGCACACAUUACAGCAUGUGUAUAUGCCUUUUGCAGUUCACGAAUGCUCAUAUUUGUGCUUUCGUGUUCUCGCAUUACAGCACGUUUGUAUGUCCUUGACUGUUUCACAUAUUUUUUUAAAGCAAGUACAUGUUUUCAAAAAGAGUUGUGCAAAAUCUGCACUUGACAUGCUAUAUUUUGUUCACUUGAUGACAUGCACUAGUGCAUUUUGAAAAGAAAUGUGGAAAAUCCAAGGAUAUACAACAUGUGCUAUAAUGUGUGCACUUUAAAAAUUCAUGCACAAAUAUAACCAUUUAAGAGCUACAUACAACUACAAGACCUGGAGGACGAAUAUAACAAUUACGAGCGAUUAGAACUCUUAUGGAUUCCGUCACUGUAACAUCGUUUAUUCGUAGGAAUGAGGCAAAGGAAACAUAGGGAAAUUUACUUUUGACGCCAUUCCAAAGGAAAAACAUAGGAAAUUUAGCAUCCACUAUGACCUCAUGUUUUAUUCCUACGCGUAGGAUCAAGGUAAAGCACGGUGAUGGGAUCAAUCAAGUUAGUGUUGGAACAUCAUUAGUAGGGCUCCGGUAUUUUUACGAUUCAAAAGUCAUGUAAAACUUUUCCAGUGUUUUACAAUCCUCUGUUCUAUACAUGCAUUCCUAGUGCAUUCCUGUGUUGUUAUAAUCCUAUGAAUAAAGAGUCCCAUAUGUAUCGAUGUUUUAUAGCAUGUCAUACAUGUGUGAUUUGUUUACAUCUGCAUUUUGGAAUUAUUUUAUAUCUCCAAUAAAUGCACGUUCAAAUGAGCAUUACAGGAGCAAAUAGCCGGCUACUUACUCAUCAUCACUGCAGCCCUCAACGUCCUCUGUUGACAGGUCCUUUCUUGCCUGUAAAUACAUUACUCGUCAAACUUUAUGAUUAUCAUGGUAGGAUUGACAUGCAGAACUAUGCAGAUGACAAUGGAACUUACUGAAGUACGGCCCC